GAUGAACGCUGGCGGCGUGCCUAAUACAUGCAAGUCGAGCGAACAGAUGAGGAGCUUGCUCCUCUGAUGUUAGCGGCGGACGGGUGAGUAACACGUGGAUAACCUACCUAUAAGACUGGGAUAACUUCGGGAAACCGGAGCUAAUACCGGAUAACAUGUUGAACCGCAUGGUUCAACAGUGAAAGACGGUCUUGCUGUCACUUAUAGAUGGAUCCGCGCCGCAUUAGCUAGUUGGUAAGGUAACGGCUUACCAAGGCAACGAUGCGUAGCCGACCUGAGAGGGUGAUCGGCCACACUGGAACUGAGACACGGUCCAGACUCCUACGGGAGGCAGCAGUAGGGAAUCUUCCGCAAUGGGCGAAAGCCUGACGGAGCAACGCCGCGUGAGUGAAGAAGGUCUUCGGAUCGUAAAACUCUGUUAUUAGGGAAGAACAAAUGUGUAAGUAACUAUGCACGUCUUGACGGUACCUAAUCAGAAAGCCACGGCUAACUACGUG
rnacentral:rRNA from 1 species